UGACGCAGCAACGCCGCGUGAGGGAUGACGGCCUUCGGGUUGUAAACCUCUUUCAGCGGGACGAAGCGAAAGUGACUGUACCCGCAGAAGAAGCGCCGGCUAACUACGUGCCAGCAGCCGCGGUAAUACGUAGGGCGCAAGCGUUGUCCGGAUUUAUUGGGCGUAAAGAGCUCGUAGGCGGUCUGUCGCGUCGGAUGUGAAAACCCGGAACUCAACUCCGGGCCUGCAUUCGAUACGGGCAGACUUGAGUACUGCAGGGGAGACUGGAAUUCCUGGUGUAGCGGUGGAAUGCGCAGAUAUCAGGAGGAACACCGGUGGCGAAGGCGGGUCUCUGGGCAGAAACUGACGCUGAGGAGCGAGAGCGUGGGGAGCGAACAGGAUUAGAUACCCUGGUAGUCCACGCCGUAAACGGUGGGCACUAGGUGUGGGGACCAUUCCACGGUCUCUGCGCCGCAGCUAACGCAUUAAGUGCCCCGCCUGGGGAGUACGGCCGCAAGGCUA
rnacentral:rRNA from 1 species